GCCAAAUGAUGAUAAUAAAGAUAUAUUCUGAGUGAAUUACACUGUAACAUUAAACCAGAGUUGUUAACAUCUGUAAAUCUUGGUAAUUCCUUUUGAGAUAAUAAGGUUUUGCUGUAAUAUCAGAUGAAGAGUAAACCUCAUCUUUUGUACUAAUACCAACAACAAACGUAGAGUUGUCUGUUGUAACCCGAAGAUGAGAAACAUACCUAUUUUUGUCUGUCACAAUGAUACAGUUCAUCUUUAGUAAUCUGAUGGCA